GGGGGCCACGGCACACCCUAGGCCAGCCCAGCAAGGACCCCACCCCUUUGUCGCCCAGCCGCUAGCACGUAGCUACCACGACUAGUGCCCAGGUCACCACCGCCAUGCCUAGCGCCAAGCCACCACUCACCCGCACCCAACACCAAGUCGCCGCAAUCCUAGUGCCCAUUGUACAUGUGAACAUAUAAAGCUACCAUGAUCAUGGAGGUAGCAGGUGCAGAGACACCCAUCAAGGUUUCUUCGUCUCUAGUCAUUUGUUACGCAAAUUCAAAUACAGGCUUUUGGAAAGUUGAGGCCUAUUUGUGCACAAUAGUAUACUAACCAUUGAAGAUUAUUACUCUCAUCUAUUGCAGGUACAUUAUUCUGAAACUCAGUUCAUGAAAUGGAAUGAGUUCAGUUUCAAUAUAGCAGAAUAGCAUGCUAGCAGCAAACAUGCACGUGCCCAGACUUCAUUCAGGUGACAUCUUUCAUUGUCUCUUCUCAAUCAUUUAUAGUGUCAUUUCGAGUUUUCAUGGCUUGUAUUGUGCUAUGAGUUUUUAGUGCUUCAUGGUGGGCUUAGUUGCAUGAAGGGUUCUCAGCUUUGAGAUUAAUUACCAAUGCACCUUUUGAGAGCUCAAAAGAUGGUCUUCGCAUUGAGCUAGUAAGUUAGAAUUUUGUUAAAAUUUGCAGAUUUAGUAAAGUUAUUAUUUAUUGGUUUUUUAAAAAAAUUUGACUCGGCGAGGAUAAAAUAGCCCUGGGCAUCAUAUAUAUAGAGAUGACCUUCUUGUAGUAUCUUAUAUAAAAAAUUUGUUACGGCAUACCCUAUAUAAAAAACCUAGGUCCGCCACUGCCUAAAAUCAUAUAGAAAAGAGUGUUGCUUUGGUCUACAAGUCUGAAUCUAUAUUAUUGCUAUAUGGAUGAGCUUCUUACUGCUAAUUAAAUUACAGUAACAUGUGGUGGUGACAUGGCACAACAAGAACUUGAAGAAGUAGACAUGUUGCUGCUGCCUGCAGGGUGACGUCUAUGGUGUUGUGCUGCGGGCAAGGCCCACACAAUGUGAUCGGGCUGCACGCCAAUGUUCAACAUGUGCCCCAACCAGAAUGUGUAUGCUACUACUAAUAUAACAUUCGUCAUUGGUUGGUUCACCCCAAGAGGUUUGCUGCAUGUUCAUGGAGCUGGUGGAUAAUAAAUUUUAGUUGUUCUUUUUGUGGUUUAUUAGAUGACAUCAAUUAGUGUUCAAUUGAGCCUUAGAGUAGGAUGAAUACAACUGUCUUAAGUUUCUUUGUUCCAGCAGAUUGUUUGGGGGCAAGGUUACCUAUGAACUUCAAGAAUUGGUCUUAUGAUAUUGUUAGUUUGUACAACUUAGUGUUAGGUUGCUCGACUUCUUCAUGAAUGAGGUGUUAGACAUUGGUCGAUCAUGCAGGGUUGAAGGUGCUUCAUAUAACUAAAUCUACCAUGACUUUCUAGGAAAAGAUGGAAUGGAACUCAAUUUUUGGUGGCCGUACAAGUGUGGAAACUUGAAUUCAUAUAUACUUACAAUCAACAUUAGCGCAAACAGUUGACCAAGUUUUUCAAUUAGUAUUUUAGUUUGAAUUUAGUGUGCAAUAAUGUAUGAGUUAUUUAACAAUGCUUAUUCAUGACAUAUUGAAUGAUACUUAUAUUUAUUAUAUCAAUUAUGAUGU
rnacentral:lncRNA from 7 species